GAUGAACGCUGGCGGCGUGCUUAACACAUGCAAGUCGAACGGAGAUAAACGGCGAAAAGAUUUCGGUCGAUUCCUGUUUAUCUUAGUGGCGGACGGGUGAGUAACGCGUGGGUAACCUGCCCUGUACAGGGGGAUAACACUUAGAAAUAGGUGCUAAAACCGCAUAAGCGCACAGUACCGCAUGGUACAGUGUGAAAAACUCCGGUGGUACAGGAUGGACCCGCGUCUGAUUAGCUGGUUGGAGGGGUAACGGCCCACCAAGGCGACGAUCAGUAGCCGGCCUGAGAGGGUGAACGGCCACAUUGGGACUGAGACACGGCCCAA
rnacentral:rRNA from 1 species